rnacentral:rRNA from 1 species
CCUACGGGUGGCAGCAGUAGGGAAUUUUCGUCAAUGGGCGCAAGCCUGAACGAGCAAUGCCGCGUGAACGAGGAAGGUCUUCGGAUCGUACAGUUCUGUUGAAGGGGAAAAAGAGCGGAGAGAGGAAAUGCUUUCUGAUUGAUAUUACCCUUCGAGGCAGUCACGGCUAACUACGUGCCAGCAGCCGCGGUAAUACGUAGGUGGCGAGCGUUAUCCGGUAUGAUUGGGCGUAAAGGGUGCGUAGGCGGCCUGCUAGGGCUGGAGUGAAAGGUACCGGAUCAACCGGUACAGGCUCUGGAAACUGGCGGGCUGGAGUAGGUUGGAGGCAGGCGGAAUGCGUGGUGUAGCGGUGAAAUGCUUAGAUAUCACGCAGAACCCCGAUUGCGAAGGCAGCCUGCCAAGCCAUGACUGACGCUGAUGCACGAAAGCGUGGGGAUCAAACAGGAUUAGAUACCCCUGUAGUCC